GACGAACGCUGGCGGCGUGCCUAAUACAUGCAAGUAGAACGCUGAAGGAGGAGCUUGCUUCUCUGGAUGAGUUGCGAACGGGUGAGUAACGCGUAGGUAACCUGCCUGGUAGCGGGGGAUAACUAUUGGAAACGAUAGCUAAUACCGCAUAAGAGUAGAUGUUGCAUGACAUUUGCUCAAAAGGUGCAAUUGCAUCACUACCAGAUGGACCUGCGUUGUAUUAGCUAGUUGGUGGGGUAACGGCUUACCAAGGCGACGAUACAUAGCCGACCUGAGAGGGUGAUCGGCCACACUGGGACUGAGACACGGCCCAGACUCCUACGGGAGGCAGCAGUAGGGAAUCUUCGGCAAUGGACGGAAGUCUGACCGAGCAACGCCGCGUGAGUGAAGAAGGUUUUCGGAUCGUAAAGCUCUGUUGUAAGAGAAGAACGAGUGUGAGAGUGGAAAGUUCACACUGUGACGGUAUCUUACCAGAAAGGGACGGCUAACUACGU
rnacentral:rRNA from 1 species